rnacentral:lncRNA from 1 species
GUCAGGUCAACCUUUUAAACAGUCUGAUGACUUUUUUUCUGGAUUUUCAGUUCCAUGACUGACUGCAAGCAACAGCUACUGCCAAAACAAAGAAAGAAACAAGGAACUCGAAGUGGAAGGGCAGGACCAUUUUAUUCCUUUAAUAUCAAUACAACAACCUGGAACGCUGUCCUGUUUCUGCUUCUGGUGGCCUGGAGUCCAAGCGCGGUGUUGAUCUUCCUAUCUGUUUCUUCAGUGGUUGACAUGUUGUUUUGAAGGAAGAUUUUGAGAAGUAUCAAAGCAGUCCAGGAGCACAAAUUGCCCUGGCACUUAAUGGGACUCAGCUCUCUGAAAUCAUCAGCAUUGUCUGCAGAGUUGCCUACCACAUAUCCCAGCAAAUUAUUCUGAACAUAGGCAGUUUUAAAAACCAACCUCUCCUUCAGAAUUGUUAUAUUCUCCCAGGAGUAUAAGAAAAUAAUGCAACACAGAGAGGGGUGUACUGUUGAAAAUUAAGAAAAGUUGAGAGGUUAGCCUGGUCUCUAAGAUGGAGUAAUAGAGUGAAAGACAGUAGAUGUGGUUUUUCUCUAUACAUAUCUGUCACUGGCUUGCAGUGUGUCCUGACAAGUAUUUUCUUUUGUAUCUAUUUUCCUAUGCAUAUUCUACCUGUCUUGUCUUUUUAGAUUGUGAAUUUUUGUUGGGAAAGGACUCCCUCAGCAAAAGUGUUUAGGGGAUUCUGAUUUUGCCUGGAAUGUGCUGAGACUAAUAAUUUUUACAAUAUAAAACCACUCUCUAUGUGUUCCAAGAGUCAUUAGAGGAUGUUUUUUUCUCAUCAGUAUUUGUCUGUUAACUGUUAUAACUGUAUGUAUAUAUUAAAACACUAAAAUGAUGUUCCAGGUAAUCCAAGCAUACGGGCUAAACAGUUACUUUUUGCUGUAACAGAAAGGCGAAUUCUCUGGCGGGACUUAAGAGAACGACUCCUUCACUGUUCCUAACCCUGAAAUCAUUCUAAAACAGUAUAAAUAAAUUUAAGACAUUGCUAAAAGCUUUUUAUAGA